UACGUAGGGGGCGAGCGUUGUCCGGAAUUAUUGGGCGUAAAGAGCUCGUAGGCGGCUUAGUAAGUCGGCGGUGAAAUACCGAGGCUCAACCUCGGCACUGCCGUCGAUACUGCUAUGGCUAGAGUUUGGUAGAGGAGAACGGAAUUCCCGGUGUAGCGGUGGAAUGCGCAGAUAUCAGGAGGAACACCGGUGGCGAAGGCGGAUCUCUGGGCCGUAACUGACGCUGAGACACGAAAGCGUGGGUAGCAAACAGG
rnacentral:rRNA from 1 species